rnacentral:rRNA from 1 species
UGGGGAAUAUUGCGCAAUGGGGGAACCCUGGACGCAGCAACGCCGCGUGAAGGAUGAAGGCUUUCGGGUUGUAAACCUUCUUUGAUGAGGGACGAAAGAAAUGACGGUACCUCAAAAACAAGCCACGGCUAACUACGUGCCAGCAGCCGCGGUAAUACGUAGGUGGCGAGCGUUGUCCGGAAUUACUGGGUGUAAAGGGCGUGUAGGCGGGGAUGCAAGUCAGAUGUGAAAUGCCGGGGCUUAACUCCGGAGCUGCAUCUGAAACUGUGUUUCUUGAGUGUCGGAGAGGAAAGCGGAAUUCCCAGUGUAGCGGUGAAAUGCGUAGAUAUUGGGAGGAACACCAGUGGCGAAGGCGGCUUUCUGGACGAUAACUGACGCUGAGGCGCGAAAGCGU